UACAGAGGGGGCAAGCGUUGUUCGGAAUUACUGGGCGUAAAGGGCGCGUAGGCGGCCGCCUAAGUCAGACGUGAAAUCCCUCGGCUCAACCGGGGAACUGCGUCUGAUACUGGGUGGCUUGAAUCCGGGAGAGGGAUGCGGAAUUCCAGGUGUAGCGGUGAAAUGCGUAGAUAUCUGGAGGAACACCUGUGGCGAAAGCGGCGCACUGGACCACAACUGACGCUGAGGCGCGAAAGCUAGGGGAGCAAACAGG
rnacentral:rRNA from 1 species